rnacentral:rRNA from 1 species
UACGAAGGGGGCUAGCGUUGUUCGGAAUCACUGGGCGUAAAGCGCACGUAGGCGGACUUUCAAGUCAGGGGUGAAAUCCCGGGGCUCAACCUCGGAAUUGCCUUUGAUACUGUAGGUCUCGAGUCCGGAAGAGGUGGGUGGAAUUCCUAGUGUAGAGGUGAAAUUCGUAGAUAUUAGGAAGAACACCGGUGGCGAAGGCGGCCCACUGGUCCGGUACUGACGCUGAGGCGCGAAAGCUAGGGGAGCAAACGGG